rnacentral:misc_RNA from 1 species
AACGGUCUAUACCUGCGGUACCUGCGGAAGGAUCAUUACCGAGUUAUCAACUCCCAAACCCCUGUGAACAUACCCGAACGUUGCCUCGGCGGGACCGCCCCGGCGCCCCUAGCGGCCCGGAACCAGGCGCCCGCCGGAGGACCCAAACUCUUGCUUUAAACAGCGGCAUACUCUCUGAGUCUCACAAACAAAAAAUAAAUCAAAACUUUCAGCAACGGAUCUCUAGAUCGGAAGAGCACA